UACGUAGGUGGCAAGCGUUGUUCGGAAUUACUGGGCGUAAAGGGCUCGUAGGUGGCCAACUAAGUCAGACGUGAAAUCCCUCGGCUUAACCGGGGAACUGCGUCUGAUACUGGAUGGCUUGAGUUUGGGAGAGGGAUGCGGAAUUCCAGGUGUAGCGGUGAAAUGCGUAGAUAUCUGGAGGAACACCGGUGGCGAAGGCGGCAUCCUGGACCAACACUGACACUGAGGAGCGAAAGCCAGGGGAGCAAACGGG
rnacentral:rRNA from 1 species